rnacentral:sRNA from 1 species
GGGAACUGGCAGCUCUGCACAAUUGCA